rnacentral:rRNA from 1 species
AUGAAUCCUGUUGAGAUUCCCCACUGGUUCGACCCCGUUCCCAACUCAGUGUGUGUGGAUGGAAAGAGGCUGCGGCAAUCUGCAAUGCUUGUUGACCCCGUGUCCAAGGUGCUCGACGACGAUAACCUUCUCAUCGAGAUCCUCCUCCUAAUCGGCUACCCCACCACCCUCAUCCGCGCUGCUCUCGUCUGCAAACGUUGGUUCAGUCAUGCCUCUGACCCUGCCUUCCUCUGCCGCUUCUGCAAGAUCCACCCGCCCCGCCUCCUCGGCGUAUAUUUCAAGACCAGGGCGAGCCGCUCACGCUUUGUGCCGAUGCUACCGCAGCCCCCAGAGAAUGAUGCAGUCAUCAGCUGCGCAAGCUCCGGCCUGGAUGCACAUAAACUCAUGUUGGAUGACUGGAAUGACAUCAUCUUCACCAAAACAUUUAACAACUGCAAUGAAGAACCCGGAUCAAUACAUAUAGUGCGCAACCCGCUCUGCCCUGCAAGAGGCAUGGUUAUCGUACCUCCAUUCCCAUGCUACGGACACCAGGACAGCUAUUUCUACAAGUUCUAUAAACUCCUAUUCGAAGAAGAAGGUGAUAGCUUGUCAUACUUCUGUGUGCAGAGUGAACUUUCUAAUGAUGGAAGAAAAUCUACGGUGUAUGUGUAUAUGUUGCAAGAUGGUGUUUGGUGCUUGCAUGCCUCACCAACGACACAGCUUCCUUGUCGGCCAUAG